AACGAACGCUGGCGGCAUGCCUAACACAUGCAAGUCGAACGAAGGCUUCGGCCUUAGUGGCGCACGGGUGCGUAACGCGUGGGAAUCUGCCCUUUGGCUCGGAAUAACAGCUGGAAACGGCUGCUAAUACCGGAUGAUGACGAAAGUCCAAAGAUUUAUCGCCAGAGGAUGAGCCCGCGUUGGAUUAGGUAGUUGGUGGGGUAAAGGCCUACCAAGCCGACGAUCCAUAGCUGGUCUGAGAGGAUGAUCAGCCACACUGGGACUGAGACACGGCCCAGACUCCUACGGGAGGCAGCAGUGGGGAAUAUUGGACAAUGGGCGCAAGCCUGAUCCAGCAAUGCCGCGUGAGUGAUGAAGGCCCUAGGGUUGUAAAGCUCUUUUACCCGGGAAGAUAAUGACUGUACCGGGAGAAUAAGCCCCGGCUAACUCCGUG
rnacentral:rRNA from 1 species